AGGGAGUCGAGUCAGUGUAUGAAAUCAGCUGAUCCAACGGGAGGAAACCCGGAAGUGAACUUUAUUCAAACAGCGGAGCCGGAGACUCAUUCUCUCGAGAGUUAAUUGUACAUUGUCUACUAGCUGGGACAUGAUCUUUCUCAUAACAACAGGUUAGAUUGGACACAGGAAAAAUUGCUCCUUCUAAAUCUAAGACUAAGUUCUAAAUUUUAGCAAUUUCAUGAUUUUUUUUAGGUCCGGCACGUUGGUGUGGAACUACUCUACUCUUUCUAGGUCAUCCAUAACAGCAGCAUAAUACUGCAUGAUGAAUGUUGAACAUGAGGUGGAACUUCUUGUUGAGGAGAUGAAGCGUUUAGGGCAACCAAAUGCUGAUGGAAAGAUCGUUGUCAAGUUUGGAGUCCUUUUUGCUGAUGAUCGAUGUGCCAACCUUUUUGAGGCUCUUGUUGGAACCCUGAAAGCUGCCAAGAGGAAGAAGAUAGUGCACUACAGUGGGGAGCUUCUACUACAAGGCGUGCAUGAUGAUGUUGAUGUAGUAUUACAGUGAACAUAUAAUUUUAUUAUCCUUUCUAAUUUUUUUUCCUGUUCCAUACCAUGUGCUCUAGCAAACACAGCACAACAAAAUGAAUGUACAUGUACUUUACAUGGCCAUGAGUUUAGAACUCGCCACAUAAAUAAGGUGAAUUUGUAACACCUUUUCAAACU